CCUACGGGAGGCAGCAGUGGGGGAUAUUGGGCAAUGGGCGCAAGCCUGACCCAGCAACGCCGCGUGAAGGAAGACGGCUUUCGGGUUGUAAACCUCUGUUCGCAGGGACGAAGCAAGUGACGGUACCUGAGGACUAAGCCCCGGCUAACUACGUGCCAGCAGCCGCGGUAAUACGUAGGGGGCAAGCGUUAUCAGGAUUUACUGGGUGUAAAGGGAGCGUAGGCGGGAAAGCAAGUCAGAUGUGAAAUCCAGGGGCUCAACCUGUGGCCUGCAUUUGAAACUGUCUGUCUUGAGUACAGGAGAGGCAGGCGGAAUUCCUAGUGUAGCGGUGAAAUGCGUAGAUAUUAGGAGGAACACCAGUGGCGAAGGCGGUCUGCUGGACAGCAACUGACGCUGAGGCUCGAAAGCGUGGGGAGCAAACAGGAUUAGAUACCCUAGUAGUC
rnacentral:rRNA from 1 species